AUUAAUUAAUAGGAAACAAAAUUGGAACAAUACAGAAAAAAUCAGCAUGGCCCCUCUGAAAAAGGAUGAUAUGAAAAUUUGUGAGGUGUUCCAUAUUUUA
ensembl:snRNA U6 U6 spliceosomal RNA